GCCUUGUUAGUUCAAUAGUUAGAAUACCUGGCUGUUAACCAGGAGACAAUGGAGCAUAACCAUUACAAGGCGC
rnacentral:tRNA from 1 species